GGUCAAGUGAAGUAAGCGCAUACGGCGAAUGCCUAGGCGGUAGGAGGCGAUGAAGGACGUGGUAGCCUGCGAAAAACCUCGGGGAGUUGGCAAACAAACUUCGAUCCGGGGGUGUCCGAAUGGGGAAACCCACUUAUCACCAGAUAAGUAUUUUACACUGAAUACAUAGGUGUAAAAGGCGAACUCGGGGAACUGAAACAUCUAAGUACCCGAAGGAAAAGAAAUCAACCGAGAUUCCCUAAGUAGCGGCGAGCGAAAGGGGAACAGCCCUUAAGUUUUGGAUUUGCUAAUGGAAUGGUUUGGAAAGAUCAGCAAUACAGGGUAACAGCCCCGUACAUGAAAGUGCAUCCAGAGUAACUAUACGUUGAUACCAUCACUGAUGUCCUUCAAACACCUUCGUGGGAUAUCAACGUAUAAUUAUUUAGGCUCAGUUGGUGGAGUCAGGGAGA
rnacentral:ncRNA from 1 species